rnacentral:rRNA from 1 species
UACAGAGGGUGCGAGCGUUGUCCGGAAUCACUGGGCGUAAAGGGCGCGUAGGUGGCGUCGCAAGUCGAUGGUGAAAGCUCGGCGCUCAACGCCGAGUCGGCCCUUGAUACUGCGAGGCUGGAGCACUGUAGAGGCUAAUGGAAUUCCGGGUGUAGCGGUGGAAUGCGCAGAUAUCAGGAGGAACACCGGUGACGAAGGCGGCAUCCUGGACCGGCAUUGACGCUGAGGCGCGAAAGCUAGGGGGAGCGAACAGG